AUGCGUAUCUGGCGUAGGGGAUGGCGUGAUCAUACAGGCGGUACCGCCAGGGCGAGGCUGCUCCAUUGCACUGCGGAGUGGUUGACCCUUGCGAUUAUUUUUAUUUUUAUCAAUAAUAAAAAGUGUAUACCCGAAUAAUUAUUUUCUUUAUACCUCUAAUAGAACUUUAAAUUAAUAUUCUUAUAAUAAGGAACUUCGUUCCUAU
rnacentral:snRNA from 9 species